GUGCCAGCCGCCGCGGUAAUACCGGCAGCCCGAGUGAUGGUCGAUCUUAUUGGGCCUAAAGCGUCCGUAGCUGGCUGCGCAAGUCCGUCGGGAAAUCCACGUGCUUAACGCGUGGGCGACCGGCGGAAACUGUCCGGCUUGGGGCCGGAGGACCCGAGGGGUACGUCCGGGGUAGGAGUGAAAUCCCGUAAUCCUGGACGGACCGCCGAUGGCGAAAGCACGUCGCGAGAACGGAUCCGACAGUGAGGGACGAAAGCCAGGGUCUCGAACCGGAUUAGAAACCCCUGUAGUCC
rnacentral:rRNA from 1 species